rnacentral:rRNA from 1 species
AACGAACGUUAGCGGCGCGCCUAACACAUGCAAGUCGCACGAGAAAGGGCUUCGGCCCCGGUAAAGUGGCGCACGGGUGAGUAACACGUGGGUAACCUGCCCUCGAGCGGGGGAUAACAUUCCGAAAGGAGUGCUAAUACCGCAUAAGACCACGAUCUCGAAAGAGGACGAGGUCAAAGCUGGCCUCUGUAUACAAGCUAGCACUUGAGGAUGGGCCCGCGGCGCAUCAGGUAGUUGGUGAGGUAACGGCUCACCAAGCCGAAGACGCGUAGCUGGUCUGAGAGGAUGAUCAGCCACACUGGAACUGAGACACGGUCCAGACUCCUACGGGAGGCAGCAGUGGGGAAUCUUGCGCAAUGGGCGAAAGCCUGACGCAGCGACGCCGCGUGAGUGAUGAAGGCCUUCGGGUUGUAAAGCUCUGUGGGGCGAGACGAAUAAGUGCAGCCUAAUACGCUGCAUGAUGACGGUAUCGCCUUAGCAAGCACCGGCUAACUCUGUGCCAGCAGCCGCGGUAACAC